UUGACCUCAAAUCAGGUAGGACUACCCGCUGAACUUAAGCAUAUCAAUAAGCGGAGGAAAAGAAACUAACAAGGAUUCCCCUAGUAACUGCGAGUGAAGCGGGAAAAGCUCAAAUUUGAAAUCUGGCAGCUCUUUGAACUGUCCGAGUUGUAAUCUAGAGAAGUGUUACCUGUGUUGGACCGUGUACAAGUCUCCUGGAAUGGAGCGUCACAGAGGGUGAGAAUCCCGUCUUUGACACGGACUGCCUGCACGUUAUGGUGCGCUCUCAAAGAGUCGAGUUGUUUGGGAAUGCAGCUCAAAAUGGGUGGUAAAUGCCAUCUAAAGCUAAAUAUUGGCGAGAGACCGAUAGCGAACAAGUACCGUGAGGGAAAGAUGAAAAGAACUUUGGAAAGAGAGUUAAACAGUACGUGAAAUUGCUGAAAGGGAAACGCUUGAAGUCAGUCGCGUCGGCUAGAAAUCAACCUUGCUUUUGCUUGGUGUACUUUCUUGUUGACGGGUCAGCAUCAAUUUUGACCGUCGGAUAAAGUCAUUGGGAAUGUGGCAUCUUAGGAUGUGUUAUAGCCCAUUGUCGCAUACGACGGUUGGGAUUGAGGAACUCAGCACGCCCGCAAGGGACGGGUUUUUUGACCACGUUCGUGCUUAGGAUGCGGCAUC
rnacentral:rRNA from 1 species